GGCAACGGCUCAGUAAUACAUGAACACGUGCCCUAAAGUCCGGGACAAACGCANAAAUGCCAUAAAUACCGGAUGUGGUGGAGAGAUGGCAUCAUCAUUCCAUUAAAUGGUUUUUCGCUUUAGGAGCGGUUCAUGGCCUAUCAGGUAGUUGGUGGGGUAAUGGCUUACCAAGCCGACGACAGGUAGCGGGUCUGAGAGGAUGACCCGCUCGAGUGGGACUGAGACACGGCCCACACACCUACGGGUGGCAGCAGUUGGGAAUCUUGCACAAUGGGGGAAACCCUGAUGCAGCGACGCCGCGUGGAGGAUGACGGAUCUAGGUCCGUAAACUCCUUUUUCAUGGAAAGACUUAGGACGGUACCAUGAGAAUAAGGACCGGCUAACUACGUGCCAGCAGCCGCGGUAAGACGUAGGGUCCAAGCGUUGUCCGGAUUUACUGGGCGUAAGAGCGCGUAGGCGGUCUGUUAAGUGUGAAGUGAAUCUCCAGAGCUCAACCCGGAAACUGCUUUACAUACUGGCAGACUUGAGGAAUGCAGAGGUUUGUGGAAUUCCUGGUGUAACGGUGAAAUGUGUUGAUAUCAGGGGGAACACCCAUGGCGAAGGCAGCAAACUGGGCAUUAUCUGACGCUGAGGCGCGAAAGCGUGGGUAGCAAACAGGAUUAGAUACCCUGGUAGUCCACGCCCUAAACGAUGGAUACUAGGCGUAAGAGGUAUCGACCCCUCUUGUGCCGCAGCUAACGCAUUAAGUAUCCCGCCUGGGGAGUACGGCCGCAAGGUUGAAACUCAAAUGAAUUGACGGGGACCCGCACAAGCGGUGGAGCAUGUGGAUUAAUUCGAUACUAACCGAAGAACCUUACCCAGGUUUGACAUCGAUCGCAAAGCCCAGAGAUGGGCUCCUCCCCCACAAGGGGACGUGAAGACACUUGUUGCAUGGCUGUCGUCAGCUCGUGCCGUGAGGUGUACGGUUAAGUCCGCCAACGAGCGCAACCUCGU
rnacentral:rRNA from 1 species